ensembl:lncRNA
UGUGGGCAGCCGCGGCCGCCCUGGGCACGGCAGGGGAGGGGUGGGAGGCGGCCCCCGGCGGGGAGGUGGGGUUGGUCCAGCUCCAUCCCAAGAGGGAGUGGAGGGGGGCUCCUGCCGGCUCUAAGGCGAGGAAGUGCCGCUUCUCCAUCUUGAGGAGGGGGCGAGCGGGAGGCGCAGCCCCCUUGGCGAGGGGUCCCGUUCCCACUGCUGUGCUCCGUGGUGGAGCCGUGGCACCUUCCACGGUAUUGCACCGACAGGGCUUUUACUGUUCCAUGGGCGCGACCUGGAGAUAGAGCAGCGAGAGGUCUCCCAGGUCUGAAGACCUUCGGCAAAGGUCUGAAGGUGUCGAGCCAAGAAGCUGUGGCGGAAAGGCAGCCGAGCCCUCUGCCUCACGCCCCUUUGGGUACCAGCAUCCGACAGGCGACCACGGUAUUGCUGUUGGUCUGCCAAGGGGCCUCGAAGGGGUAGCUGAUCCAGUGUCCUUGACUUUCCAGAUUGUUUUCUCCACUGAAUAAUCAAGAAGCAGUUGCUCCUAUGCAAACACAAAGGAUUUGAAGCAAAGACCUCCUGUUUGAAAAACCCAGCAGCAGCAGCACCUGGUGCCUGUUCUUCUGCUAGUCUGCAAACUCCAGAAAUGCUAUGAAAUGGCAAAACACAUCAUGAAGGCAGGAUUUUUGCAGAUGAUUAAGGCUAAGAAGGCAUUUUCUUGCUGAGCCAAUUAUUGCCUUUCAUAAAAUUGAUAAAUUAAUAGGCUUAAUCCUCCAAAAAUAAUAGUCUUAGCAUGCUAUAAUGCCAUCUGAAAAUUAUUGACUCUUAAAAAUGUAGCCUUCUAGAUAAAUGUUGAUCUGGUUACCUCCAGCUGCCUUCCCACAGUAAGUGCUUUUAUUUGAUCAGACAAAAGUCUUGUGAAGCUGUCAUCACCCAGGACAAUUAAUUCAGUGUCAGAUAUCCAGGUUCAUUUUAGAGUCUGCCUCUGACAUGCACCCUCUAUCACUGCCAAGUGCACCUUAUGAGCACCUUCUUGCUGUGUCAGGGAAGCCCUGACCUGAGGCGUAACACAACAUUAUGGUGACAUACAGGAGGUUCCUCCUACCACAGGGGGCUGGUGCAGACCUUCCAGUCACCCUGCACCCUACUUGCCUUUCCCUUUCCAACUGGUUUGAUAAACUAGCUGCGCAGAAGUUUUCCCUGUGACAUCUGUUUGCCACUUAGGUCACAUUACUUAUUAAAUAGUGUUGCACUUUUCUGAAAAUAACAUUUUCCCACCUCCCAUUUAAAUAGGUAAAAUAUCUUCAUCUGUUUCAAAGAAGAGUCUAUCAACACUGAAAAAGAGAGUAGUAUUCAUCUUCAUCUGAGACAGUUUUGGUUUUUUGGUUUUUUUUAUUCAUCAAUAGUUGCAAAAGUUUUUGACAGCUGGAAUGAGGUGAGUUCCCCUUGGCUGCAUUUGUCCCCUGUGUCAGUUGUUCUUACAUGUCAUUUCUACUGCCAGUCCAGGUAAAGCUUCUGCCUUGAGAAAUUGUGUUUGAGUAGAUUUUUAUUGGCUUCUCUGUCCUACCAGUGGCAGUAUCAGGAAAUCUAGUAAGAGUGCAAAAGGUUAGAGUGACAUGGUGUAAUCCUUUCCUUCUUUCUGUUGUUAAAGUAUGUUAUAUUUUAUCUAGUCAUUUCCCUUUUCCUUAAUCAAAACUGUAGUUUUGCAACAUUUCUGUAUGUUAUUAAGCCCAUUUCUUGUUGAGUAUGCAUGAAUCUGUAAAUAAUGACAGUAAUGAUUUUACCAUGGGUUGUUGCAGAUGCGAUAUUACUUUCAUUUCAAUUGUAAUGUAACAACAUUCCUGCCUAUUGCAUCUUCCAUUUAAGCCUCCCAUUUUCGCAGCCUUACUGAAAUGACAGCCUCUUUGUAAACAAGUUUUUGUUACUCACGAUUUCAGAUUAUUUUCUACAGUUAAGAUCAGAUUACUUUCAAUAGCUAAGAGCAUAAAUGUUCUUUAGAGGUAUACUGUUAAUCAUGAUAAAAUGACUUCCUGUUAUUACUGUGGUUUUGCUUCUCCCCCUUUUUCAAAAAAAUCCAUCUAAUUAUUAUUUACCUCACAGUAGUUUAACAUUUCCUUAUUUUGUUAUAGAUCUUCUGUUUUAGUAAUUUCAAGCUAUUUUCAUUUAGAAAUGUUUAAAGUUUUGCCUGGAUCUCAGAAGUUGCUUUUUUUGAUACCUAAAUCAAAGUAUUAAUAAAAUAAUGCUUCUGACAAUACA